rnacentral:rRNA from 1 species
UACAGAGGUCCCAAGCGUUGUUCGGAUUCAUUGGGCGUAAAGAGUGCGUAGGCGGUCCUGUAAGUUUGGUGUGAAAUCUCCCGGCUCAACUGGGAGGGUGCGCCGAAGACUGCAGGGCUUGAGUAUGGGAGAGGUAAGCGGAAUUCCUGGUGUAGCGGUGAAAUGCGUAGAUAUCAGGAGGAACACCUGUGGUGUAGACAGCUUACUGGACCAUAACUGACGCUGAGGCACGAAAGCGUGGGUAGCAAACAGG